UCGCCCUUCAACUGCCAGCAGGUUUACCUUGAAUAAGUCAGAGUGCUCAAUACAGGCGCUUGCUUGAAAUAGCUCAUCAUGGAAUAAUGAAACAGGACUUCGGUUCUUUUUGUUGGUUCUAGAAUUGAUCUAAUGGUUAAGAGGGACAAACCGGGGGCAUUCGUAUCAUUACGCGAGAGGUGAAAUUCGUGGACCGUAGUGAGACGCCCAAUAGCGAAAGCAUUUGCCAAGAAUGUCUUCAUUAAUCAAGAACGAAAGUCAGAGGUUCGAAGGCGAUUAGAUACCGCCCUAGUUCUGACCGUAAACGAUGCCAUCUCGCGAUUCGGAGGGUUCAUGCCCUACCGAGGAGCUACCCGGAAACGAAAGUCUUUCGGUUCCGGGGGUAGUAUGGUUGCAAAGCUGAAACUUAAAGAAAUUGACGGAAGGGCACCACAAGGCGUGGAGCUUGCGGCUUAAUUUGACUCAACACGGGAAAACUCACCCGGUCCGGACACUAUUAGGACUGACAGAUUGAAAGCUCUUUCUCGAUUUGGUGGUUGGUGGUGCAUGGCCGUUCUUAGUUGGUGGAGUGAUUUGUCUGGUUUAUUCCGAUAACGAGCGAGACUCUAGCCUGCUAAAUAGUCGACGAAUCUUCGGGUUCGUAUAACUUCUUAGAGGGAUAAGCGGUGUUUAGCCGCACGAGAUUGAGCGAUAACAGGUCUGUGAUGCCCUUAGAUGUCCGGGGCUGCACGCGUGCUCCCCCCCACCAAGUCAGCGGGUUUUUCCUAUGCCGAAAGAUAUCGGUAAACCGUUGAACUUCUUCCAUGUCCGGGAUAGGGUAUUGUAAUUAUUACCCUUAAACGAGGAAUGCCUAGUAAGUGUGAGUCAUCAGCUCACGUUGAUUACGUCCCUGCCCUUUGUACACACCGCCCGUCGCUAUCCGGGACUGCCCCCGAUUCGAGAAGAGUGGGGACUGUGGCUCCGACCCUUUCCCACUUCGCAGUUGCGGAAACCAUUUUUU
rfam:Caenorhabditis japonica strain DF5081 Contig9720.1, whole genome shotgun sequence.